UUGCUUUUCCAACCAUCGUGAGUCUCUUCCACCGGCUUUGCUUACCUGGAUUUUGCACAGAGAAACUCAAUCAACCUCACCAACAUGUUUCCAGGUUACACCAGGGCUCUGUCUGCCUACCUUGACGGGGCUGUAUUGAAGAACGAAGAUCGUAUUCGUGGCUCGGGCCUGACAGGAUUUGGCAAUAGCUGCCAGGAAAGCAAGUAGAUAUACAAUCACACAUGCCCGCGUGGAAGAAACCCAAUGCCCACCAUGCCCGAUAAAGCAAGUUCUGUCUUGAAGUGAAUGUAUUAUCCAGCAAAGAGGGCAUGCACAAUCUGAGAAAGGACCCUCAAUCAACCAGCAGCAUUACCACCUCUGAAUCCGCCUUGACGAGAAACUGAACUGGGCCAAUCCAUUUGGAUAUUGUGGCUACACGAGCAGGUCACAGAUUGGGAAUCCUGCAG